UACGUGAGGGGCUAGCGUUGUCCGGAAUCAUUGGGCGUAAGAGCGUGUAGGCGGUCCGGUAAGUCCGCUGUGAAAGUCGGGGGCUCAACCUCGAAUGCCGGUGGAUACUGUCGGGCUAGAGUGCGGAAGAGGCGGAGUGGAAUUCCUGGGUGAUAGCGGUGAAAUGCGCAGAUAUCAGGAGGAACACCUAUUGCGAAGGCAGCUCGCUGGGACGUAACUGACGCUGAGACGCGAAGCGUGGGGAGCAAACAGG
rnacentral:rRNA from 1 species